rnacentral:rRNA from 1 species
UGGGGAAUAUUGCACAAUGGGCGCAAGCCUGAUGCAGCGACGCCGCGUGAGGGAUGACGGCCUUCGGGUUGUAAACCUCUUUCAGCAGGGACGAAGCGCAAGUGACGGUACCUGCAGAGGAAGCACCGGCCAACUACGUGCCAGCAGCCGCGGUAAUACGUAGGGUGCGAGCGUUGUCCGGAAUUACUGGGCGUAAAGAGCUCGUAGGCGGUUUGUCGCGUCGUCUGUGAAAUUCUGCAGCUUAACUGCAGGCGUGCAGGCGAUACGGGCAGACUUGAGUACUACAGGGGAGACUGGAAUUCCUGGUGUAGCGGUGAAAUGCGCAGAUAUCAGGAGGAACACCGGUGGCGAAGGCGGGUCUCUGGGUAGUAACUGACGCUGAGGAGCGAAAGCGUGGGUAGCGAACAGGAUUAGAUACCCUGGUAGUCCACGCCGUAAACGGUGGGUACUAGGUGUGGGUUCCAUUUCACGGGAUCCGUGCCGUAGCUAACGCAUUAAGUACCCCGCCUGGGGAGUACGGCCGCAAGGCUAAAACUUAAAGGAAUUGACGGGGAUCAUAGCUG